GAUGAAGAACGUAGUGAAAUGCGAUACGUAAUGUGAAUUGCAGAAUUCAGUGAAUCAUCGAAUCUUUGAACGCACAUUGCGCCCCCUGGUAUUCCGGGGGGCAUGCCUGUUCGAGCGUCAUUUCACCACUCAAGCCUCGCUUGGUAUUGGGCAACGCGGUCCGCCGCGUGCCUCAAAUCGACCGGCUGGGUCUUCUGUCCCCUAAGCGUUGUGGAAACUUUCGCUAAAGGGUGUUCGGGAGGCUACGCCGUAAAACAACCCCAUUUCUAAGGUUGACCUCGGAUCAGGUAGGGAUACCCGCUGAACUUAAGCAUAUCAAUAAGCGGAGGA
rnacentral:misc_RNA from 1 species